GCAUAUAAUUAGGCGGAGGAAAAGAAAUUAACGAAGAUUUCCCUAGUAACGGCGAGUGAAAAGGAAAUAGUUCAGCGCUGAAUCCCUUAGCCCCUGGUUAAGGGACCUGUGGCGUGAAGGAGAGCCUAUCUGUCAGGUUGUUGGCUUCGGAAUAUCCCUCGAAUGGGAACCCAAAGCAGGUGCGAGGCCUGUAACGAGGUGAUACCUGUCAGUUUGAGCCUCCAUAGAGUCGGGUUACUUGAGAGUGUAGCCCAAAGCGGAAGGUAAACCCCUUCUAAAGCUAAAUAUUACCACGAGACCGAUAGCGAACAAGUACCGCGAGGGAAAGUUGAAAAGAACUUUGAAGAGAGAGUUCAAAAGGGCGUGAAACCGCUUGGAAGAAAACGGACGGAGCCGUCAGGGGCCUUCGGGAAUCAGUCUUACGAUGCGUGAAGGUAUCAUGGUUCAGAACGCAAGUCUGGCCGUGGUAUAGUAAAAAGUAACGUUCGUUAGGCGCAUUUCUCAAGGGUAAGCACUGCGACCGAUACGAAAGGCCAAUGAAGCAUUUGGAUUGAGGGCGAGACCUCUCACGGGGACUCGUAACCAGUCUUUAUGUGCCUAGUCAUUGGACCGCAGUAUGUAUCGAAAGCCAAAGUAUGAAUAUACGUCGGCGUAAACGCUCGCUCGUUAUAACGGAUAGUUGGUCAAUAGUAUUAGUAUUUGCUCGCAGAUACUAGUCUAUUCGAUUCGGCUUUGAAGUUAUCGGCGACUCGACGUAUAGGCGUCAGCAGUGUCAGUGUCGGUCACCCGUCCGACCCGUCUUGAAACACGGACCAAGGAGUCUAACAUAUGCGCGAGCUAAUGGGUGGAAAACCCAUAGGCGAAAUAAAAGUAAAGGCUGUUUCGGACAGCUAAGGUACGAUCCUAGUAUCCGAGCGAUAUUAGGCGCAGUACCGUCCCGUCCCGACUGCAUGUCGGUAGGGCGGAGAUAGAGUGCAUACGUUGGGACCCGAAAGAUGGUGAACUAUGCCUGAGCAGAGCGAAGCCAGAGGAAACUCUGGUGGAGGUUCGUAGCGGUUCUGACGUGCAAAUCGAUCGUCAGACUUGGGUAU
rnacentral:rRNA from 1 species